rnacentral:misc_RNA from 1 species
AGCAGUUGGUGGAGCUACUGGGUAAAAUACUUCAGCAGAUAAUUAAAAGUGAUAGUAGAGCAGAUAUAUGGGGUUUAUAUGCAAGAUGGCACAAGAUUAAAGGAGAUGUCACAAUGUGCUCUGAAGCCCUCUUGAAGCAAGUUAGAUCAUAUCAGGGAUCUGAGUUGUGGAAAGAUAGAGAAAGAUUUAAAAAGUUUGCACAUGCCUCAUUGGAACUAUGUAAGGUGUAUAUGGAAAUAUCUUCCUCCACUGGUAGCCGUCGUGAACUUUUUACUGCUGAGAUGCACCUCAAAAAUAUAGUUAAACAGGCCGAUAGCUUUUCAGACACAGAAGAAUUCAGGGAUAUUCAGGCUUGUCUCCAUGAAGUGAAGAUGAAGCUUCAAUCCAAUUCUUUGCCAACUUGAGAGAAGGCUAAAACAUCCGUUUGUGAUAUUACAGAUUGAACAACCAUUCUCCCACUCCCCUUCCCUCAGUAAUAGAAGGAUCGUUUACUUUUAUUUUCAGGGGAGUGCUUAAUUUUUGCUGAAACACAACGAGG